rnacentral:rRNA from 1 species
GGGUUGUGAGGUUAAGCGACUAAGCGUACACGGUGGAUGCCCUGGCAGUCAGAGGCGAUGAAGGACGUGCUAAUCUGCGAUAAGCGUCGGUAAGGUGAUAUGAACCGUUAUAACCGGCGAUUUCCGAAUGGGGAAACCCAGUGUGAUUCGUCACACUAUCAUUAACUGAAUCCAUAGGUUAAUGAGGCGAACCGGGGGAACUGAAACAUCUAAGUACCCCGAGGAAAAGAAAUCAACCGAGAUUCCCCCAGUAGCGGCGAGCGAACGGGGAGCAGCCCAGAGCCUGAAUCAGUGUGUGUGUUAGUGGAAGCGUCUGGAAAGGCGUGCGAUACAGGGUGACAGCCCCGUACACAAAAAUGCACAUACUGUGAGCUCGAUGAGUAGGGCGGGACACGUGGUAUCCUGUCUGAAUAUGGGGGGACCAUCCUCCAAGGCUAAAUACUCCUGACUGACCGAUAGUGAACCAGUACCGUGAGGGAAAGGCGAAAAGAACCCCGGCGAGGGGAGUGAAAAAGAACCUGAAACCGUGUACGUACAAGCAGUGGGAGCACGCUUAGGCGUGUGACUGCGUACCUUUUGUAUAAUGGGUCAGCGACUUAUAUUCUGUAGCAAGGUUAACCGAAUAGGGGAGCCGAAGGGAAACCGAGUCUUAACUGGGCGUUAAGUUGCAGGGUAUAGACCCGAAACCCGGUGAUCUAGCCAUGGGCAGGUUGAAGGUUGGGUAACACUAACUGGAGGACCGAACCGACUAAUGUUGAAAAAUUAGCGGAUGACUUGUGGCUGGGGGUGAAAGGCCAAUCAAACCGGGAGAUAGCUGGUUCUCCCCGAAAGCUAUUUAGGUAGCGCCUCGUGAAUUCAUCUCCGGGGGUAGAGCACUGUUUCGGCAAGGGGGUCAUCCCGACUUACCAACCCGAUGCAAACUGCGAAUACCGGAGAAUGUUAUCACGGGAGACACACGGCGGGUGCUAACGUCCGUCGUGAAGAGGGAAACAACCCAGACCGCCAGCUAAGGUCCCAAAGUCAUGGUUAAGUGGGAAACGAUGUGGGAAGGCCCAGACAGCCAGGAUGUUGGCUUAGAAGCAGCCAUCAUUUAAAGAAAGCGUAAUAGCUCACUGGUCGAGUCGGCCUGCGCGGAAGAUGUAACGGGGCUAAACCAUGCACCGAAGCUGCGGCAGCGACACUAUGUGUUGUUGGGUAGGGGAGCGUUCUGUAAGCCUGUGAAGGUGUACUGUGAGGUAUGCUGGAGGUAUCAGAAGUGCGAAUGCUGACAUAAGUAACGAUAAAGCGGGUGAAAAGCCCGCUCGCCGGAAGACCAAGGGUUCCUGUCCAACGUUAAUCGGGGCAGGGUGAGUCGACCCCUAAGGCGAGGCCGAAAGGCGUAGUCGAUGGGAAACAGGUUAAUAUUCCUGUACUUGGUGUUACUGCGAAGGGGGGACGGAGAAGGCUAUGUUGGCCGGGCGACGGUUGUCCCGGUUUAAGCGUGUAGGCUGGUUUUCCAGGCAAAUCCGGAAAACUAAGGCUGAGGCGUGAUGACGAGGCACUACGGUGCUGAAGCAACAAAUGCCCUGCUUCCAGGAAAAGCCUCUAAGCAUCAGGUAACAUCAAAUCGUACCCCAAACCGACACAGGUGGUCAGGUAGAGAAUACCAAGGCGCUUGAGAGAACUCGGGUGAAGGAACUAGGCAAAAUGGUGCCGUAACUUCGGGAGAAGGCACGCUGAUAUGUAGGUGAAGUCCCUCGCGGAUGGAGCUGAAAUCAGUCGAAGAUACCAGCUGGCUGCAACUGUUUAUUAAAAACACAGCACUGUGCAAACACGAAAGUGGACGUAUACGGUGUGACGCCUGCCCGGUGCCGGAAGGUUAAUUGAUGGGGUUAGCGCAAGCGAAGCUCUUGAUCGAAGCCCCGGUAAACGGCGGCCGUAACUAUAACGGUCCUAAGGUAGCGAAAUUCCUUGUCGGGUAAGUUCCGACCUGCACGAAUGGCGUAAUGAUGGCCAGGCUGUCUCCACCCGAGACUCAGUGAAAUUGAACUCGCUGUGAAGAUGCAGUGUACCCGCGGCAAGACGGAAAGACCCCGUGAACCUUUACUAUAGCUUGACACUGAACAUUGAGCCUUGAUGUGUAGGAUAGGUGGGAGGCUUGGAAGUGUGGACGCCAGUCUGCAUGGAGCCGACCUUGAAAUACCACCCUUUAAUGUUUGAUGUUCUAACGUUGACCCGGAAUCCGGGUUGCGGACAGUGUCUGGUGGGUAGUUUGACUGGGGCGGUCUCCUCCUAAAGAGUAACGGAGGAGCACGAAGGUUGGCUAAUCCUGGUCGGACAUCAGGAGGUUAGUGCAAUGGCAUAAGCCAGCUUGACUGCGAGCGUGACGGCGCGAGCAGGUGCGAAAGCAGGUCAUAGUGAUCCGGUGGUUCUGAAUGGAAGGGCCAUCGCUCAACGGAUAAAAGGUACUCCGGGGAUAACAGGCUGAUACCGCCCAAGAGUUCAUAUCGACGGCGGUGUUUGGCACCUCGAUGUCGGCUCAUCACAUCCUGGGGCUGAAGUAGGUCCCAAGGGUAUGGCUGUUCGCCAUUUAAAGUGGUACGCGAGCUGGGUUUAGAACGUCGUGAGACAGUUCGGUCCCUAUCUGCCGUGGGCGCUGGAGAACUGAGGGGGGCUGCUCCUAGUACGAGAGGACCGGAGUGGACGCAUCACUGGUGUUCGGGUUGUCAUGCCAAUGGCACUGCCCGGUAGCUAAAUGCGGAAGAGAUAAGUGCUGAAAGCAUCUAAGCACGAAACUUGCCCCGAGAUGAGUUCUCCCUGACUCCUUGAGAGUCCUGAAGGAACGUUGAAGACGACGACGUUGAUAGGCCGGGUGUGUAAGCGCAGCGAUGCGUUGAGCUAACCGGUACUAAUGAACCGUGAGGCUUAACCUUACAACGCCGAAGGUGUUU